GGAAAAUUUGGUUGCAACAUCUCUUACCCACUAAUUACCCAGGAUGAUUCAACUGAUCUGGUUGAAUCAGAUGGGUGGUGACCCCUUCCUCUUUGACUGCUCCAUGUGUGUCCUUCCUGAAGUCAAGUGCUUGGUGGAUGAGGGUAACCAUUCCAGAUAGGAGGAGUGUAUUGAUCUUCAGUCAAAGGUAUAUGAAGCUCUGCAGGGAAAAAAACCCAAAUCAAGUAAUACCCUGGGAGGAAAUAAGGCAAGGCAAGGCAAAAAAAAAAGAGUUGGAAAACUGUGCAAUUAUUUUUUCUUU
rnacentral:snRNA from 1 species